rnacentral:rRNA from 1 species
GUAGGUGGCAAGCGUUAUCCGGAAUUAUUGGGGCGUAAAGCGCGCGUAGGCGGUUUUUUAAGUCUGAUGUGAAAGCCCACGGGCUCAACCUUGGGAGGGUCAUUGGAAACUGGAAAACUUGAGUGCAGAAGAGGAAAGUGGAAUUCCAUGUGUAGCGGUGAAAUGCGCAGAGAUAUGGAGGAACACCAGUGGCGAAGGCGACUUUCUGGUCUGUAACUGACGCUGAUGUGCGAAAGCGUGGGGAUCAAACAGGAUUAGAUACCCUGGUAGUCCACGCCGUAAACGAUGAGUGCUAAGUGUUAGGGGGUUUCCGCCCCUUAGUGCUGCAGCUAACGCAUUAAGCACUCCGCCUGGGGAGUACGACCGCAAGGUUG